CUCAGUUUAGUAUAGUUCAGUAUUCGUGUUUUUCGUACACAGGGUAUAAAAUUUUAUAUCUGGGU
rnacentral:tRNA from 1 species